GGGGACUGAAGCAGGAGAAUCACUUGAACCCGGGAGGCAGAGGUUGCAGUGAGCUGAGAUCAUGCCACUGCACUCCAGCUUGGGCAACAGAGUGAGAUUCCAUCUUAAAAUAAAAUUAAAUUAAAUUAAAAAGUCAUUUCAAGGAUUUCUGGAAAAAAUUGUAAAGCCAUUUCCAGAAAAUUACCAGAAUUGGUAAAAUUUUGUCCCAUUCCUUACCUGCUGGGCUGGCAUCGUGGGUGUGACUUGUGCAGGAGCACAGGACUCCACACUCAGAAGAGCUGCAUGCUUGGCUGAAUACUCUGCUAAUGCUGUCUCACAGUUAUUAAUUUUUGAACAAGAAGCUCUGCAUUUUUAUUCUGCACUGGCCCCAACAAAUUAUGCAGCCAGUGCUGCCUACACAUGCUAUAUUUAGGAUCCCAGAUGGUGAGAAUUAAUGCUCAGACUGGUGACCCUGAAUCUGUAGGUUUCUGAGUGAUCCAGGAUUCAAUUAUAAUUAUCAUUUUUUUCAUUCAUUCAACAUGUUUAUUGAGUGCUGUUCUAGGUAUCGGGGAUAAAACAUUGAAUCAACCAGCCCUGUCUUCACAGAAUUUACAUCGUGCCACACUUCCUGUGUCUGCCCAACCAACAAAUGACAUUCAUGUAUCAGCUAUUAAUAGGACAUCAGCUACAGACACACAUACCAGCGUGUGUCACAAAUAGUCUAUGUCGGGGAUCACAUGCAAAUCCCAGCAGCCAACAGGAACUCCAGGCAUCCCAAUCUCUUUCUCUCAAGAAAGCAAAUCAGAAUGCAACCUCUAAAGUGGCAAAAAGAUGCAUUUAAGAAAGGUUUUCAACCGUGAAGACUGAAAUCAAAGAGCAAACUGAGUCUCUGGUUAACAUUUCUCAGGGCCUCUGCAAAUACUGUGAGAAAUGCCACUUUGUGACAGCUUCAGCCAAGCACCAGGCUCAUCCUUCAAGAGAUCCACUUAACACUGUGUUGCUCAGAGGAGUGGAAAGAUGUCAAAUUGCUCAUCUGCUUGAAAAACCCAAAUAGGUGGAUUUCAUACAGCAGGGAUCCUGCCCUGGGAAGGCAACAGUCCUUUUUCUCAUUUGAUUGCUUUAUAGAAAUCUGUGCCCUUACCCCCCUUAGCCCCAACUCAAACCAGAUUCUUUGCUUCCAGCAAGCCCAGCUGAAGUAAACAUGUUAACAACACACAUUUGCCUCCCUGAGACAGAUAAUAUCAUAGUUCAGCUCCAUAAAAGCCUGUUGCUGUAGGCUUCUAAGGCCCUAGUUCUCAAACUUAGCCUGCAUCCAAAUCACCUGGAGUGCUUGUUAAAAUGCAGAUCACAGGACCCUACCUUGGAGUUUCUAACUCAGUAGGUCUUGGGUGGGUCCCGAAAAUUUGCUUUUCUAGUAAAUCCCAGGUGGUGGCUCCUGAUGGUCUUUGAGAACUACUGCUCUAGGGCAUUGCCUUGGAUCCUGAAGGGCUGCAUGAGCAAUUCUGUCCUCAAUGCAGAGAAUGUCCCCAAACAAACCUUAAUUCUCUUUGGCUUCUGACCACCCUAUCUCAUUUUCCUCAAUUCUCAUUCAUUCCUCAACUCCCUUUAGCUGGCCUCCUGCCCUGCACUCUAUUGAAAAUGCUCUCAGUGAAGUUGAAGGUGACAAAUUUGCUGCCAAAUUUAAUGGGCAGGGGACAUCAUCAUUUGGGUAUCUGAUAUGAUUUGGGUCUGUGUCCCUGUCCAAAUCUCAUAUCGAAUUCUAAUACUCAACAUUGGAAGGGGGGCCUGAUGGGAGGUGAUUGAAUCAUGAGGGCAGAUUUCCCCCUUGCUGUUCCCAUGAGUAAGUUCUCACAAGGUCUGGUUGUUUAUAAAAGUGUGUAGCAGUCGGGCGCAGUGACUCAUGCCUGUAAUGCCAGCAUUUUGGGAGGCCGAGGCAGGUGGAUCACCUGAGGUCAGGAGUUCGAGACCAGCCAGGCCAACAUGGUGAAACGCCGUCUCUACUAAAAAUACAAAAAUUAGCUGGGUGUGUGCCUGUAUUCCCAGCUACUUGGGAAGCUGAAGCAGGAGAAUUGCUUGAACCAGGGUGUCGGAGCUUGCAGUGAGCCGAGAUCGCGCCACUGCACUCCAGCCUGGCGAUAGACUGAGACUCUGUCUCAAAAAAACAAACAAACAAACAAACAAAAACAAAAAAAAAGUGUGUAGCACCUCCCCUUUCUCUAUCUCCUCCUCCUUCUCUGGCCAUGAAAGACAUGCCUGCUUCUCCUUCACCUUCCACCAUGAUUGUAAGCUUCCUGAGGCCUCCCCAGCCAUGCUUCCUGUACAUCCUGGGGACCAUGAGUCAAUUAAACCUCUUUUUCUUUAUAAAGUACCCAGUCUCGGCUGGGUGCGGUGGCUCAUGCCUGUCAUCUCAGCACUUUGGGAGGCCGAGGUGGGUGGAUCACCUGAGGUCAGGAGUUCAAGACCAGCCUGGUCAACAUGGUGAGACCCUGUCUCUACUAAAAAUACAAAAAUUAGCUGGGCAUGGUGGCGCACGCCUGUAGUCCCAGCUGCUCUGGAGGCUGAGACACAAGAAUUGCUUGAACCCGAGUGGUGGAGGCUGCAGUGAGCCAAGAUUGUGCCACUGCACUCCAGCCUCAGUGAUAGAGUGAGACUCUGUCUCUAAAUAAAUAAAUAACCCAGUCUCAGGUUGUUCUUUAUGGCAGUGCGAGAACAGACUAAUACAGUAUCUCACCAGCCAGUUUAGCCACCAGUCUACAUUGAACUCACUGUUUUCUCAAGCACUCUUCAUCAUGUUUUUGGGCCUGACAAGCUUCAUGUGUUCCCAGCAGUAUUUCUGUUAUUUGCAGCAACUGCCACUCCCUACUAAGUGUAGUUCAGAUGGGAUUUUCAAUCAUAGCACCCUAUGGCACUGGCCACAGGGAUGGGCCUGUAUCCCAGUACUGAUCAUCUACUCCCCUAUCUCUUGGGUCACCAUGAUUGGCCCAGUGGCAAUCAAUGACACACACCAAACCAGUCAGAGCCCUUCUCUAAAAUUUUAUACGGAUUUCAUUACAUCUAAGACUCCAUUACAGUAAGAAACACUGUUAUUUUAUCCAUCACUAAGAAAUAAUACUGCCAAUUGGAACAACAAAAAAGGAAGAUGACAUCUAUUAAAAGACGCUUCCGAUUUCAGAAAGGUUAAAAUUGGGUGGGGCUAAACCUUGCACAGUGAAAUUCAAACUAAGAUGCUGGGAGAAAAAAGCUCUCUCUCUGGAGUCCCUGAGCUAGGAAGACGUAAAUGUCAAGUUGCAACAAUACCACCUUCUCUCCAUUGCCUGGAGGAAGCAAGUCUGCAAUAGGAAAGAAUGAGGCCAACACACCAAGAGAAGUGAAAAUUUUAAAAAGAGAGAAAUGAAGCGGGUAGAGUAGCUCUGUUUCUUCACAUCAGUCCUAUAUCCUUAAAUUAUUUGAAUUCAGUUUCUGUCACUUGCAAUCAUGGAAGUCCUGAUAAAUAUAAUCCCUUUCCCCAUAAGCAUCCCCAAUAUUCCCCAAAGUAAAUGACUCAUUACCCAUCAAAUUAUCCAAAUCAUACUUAACUCCUUCCUCCUCCUCAACCCUUCUACACUGAACUAAUGAGGAAAUGUGUUUUCUUCAACUUCCUAAAUAUCUAAUCCUUCCAUUUCUCUCUAUCUGCACUCAAUCUCUCACCCCAUCCACCAUCCCCCUUUGCAGACCCCUGGGACGGCCUCCUAACUGAGUCUCCUGGUUCUAGUCUUCUCCUAUCUAACUCUGGGUCCACGCUGCAGUCAGAGUGAUCUUUCCAAUAAGAACAUCCCUGCCCAAAACACUUUGGGGUCUUCUCAUUGUCCUUUCACAGUAUGGCCCAGCCUAUCUCCCCAGCUUUCUCCAGUUUUUCGAAUAUUUUUCUGCUUUAGACUUUUUUUUUUUGAGACUGGGUCUCACUCUGUCACCCAGGAUGGAGUGCAGUGGUGCAAUCACAGCUCAGUGCACUCCCCACCUCCCGGUCUUAAACAAUCCUCCCACUUCAGCCUCCUGAGUGGCUGGAACAACAGGUGCGCCACCACACCCAGCUACUUUUUUUUAUUUUUCCUAGAGACAGGUUUCACCAUGUUGCUCAGGCUUUCUUUAGACUUUUACUUUUCCCUGACUGGAACGUUCCUCCUCGUUCACCUGUGAUUUAUUCAUUUUUGAUCCCAGCUUAAACAUCACAUCAUCUAAGCCCAGGUGGACUCCUCUAGUUUCACUGACCUCUUUCACAGUUUCUAUGGCAUCUUCCUCAUUAUACUUUCAAAAAUCAGCUGUUUACUGUAGCUUUUUAUAUUUGAAGACAUAAUAAACUCUUGUUUACACCCAAA